rnacentral:rRNA from 2 species
GUGGACGCCAGUCUGCAUGGAGCCGACCUUGAAAUACCACCCUUUAAUGUUUGAUGUUCUAACGUGGACCCGUAAUCCGGGUUGCGGACAGUGUCUGGUGGGUAGUUUGACUGGGGCGGUCUCCUCCUAAAGAGUAACGGAGGAGCACGAAGGUUGGCUAAUCCUGGUCGGACAUCAGGAGGUUAGUGCAAUGGCAUAAGCCAGCUUGACUGCGAGCGUGACGGCGCGAGCAGGUGCGAAAGCAGGUCAUAGUGAUCCGGUGGUUCUGAAUGGAAGGGCCAUCGCUCAACGGAUAAAAGGUACUCCGGGGAUAACAGGCUGAUACCGCCCAAGAGUUCAUAUCGACGGCGGUGUUUGGCACCUCGAUGUCGGCUCAUCACAUCCUGGGGCUGAAGUAGGUCCCAAGGGUAUGGCUGUUCGCCAUUUAAAGUGGUACGCGAGCUGGGUUUAGAACGUCGUGAGACAGUUCGGUCCCUAUCUGCCGUGGGCGCUGGAGAACUGAGGGGGGCUGCUCCUAGUACGAGAGGACCGGAGUGGACGCAUCACUGGUGUUCGGGUUGUCAUGCCAAUGGCACUGCCCGGUAGCUAAAUGCGGAAGAGAUAAGUGCUGAAAGCAUCUAAGCACGAAACUUGCCCCGAGAUGAGUUCUCCCUGAGACUUUAGGUCUCCUGAAGGAACGUUGAAGACGACGACGUUGAUAGGCCGGGUGUGUAAGCGCAGCGAUGCGUUGAGCUAACCGGUACUAAUGAACCGUGAGGCUUAACCUUACAAC